rnacentral:rRNA from 1 species
AGUGAACGCUGGCGGCGUGCUUAACACACGCAAGUCGAACGAGAACGGAAUAUAGCUUGCUAUAUUUGUCAGCUAAGUGGCGCACGGGUGAGUAAUGUAUAGAUAACCUGCCCUUAAGAAAGGAAUAACAGUUGGAAACGACUGCUAAUGCCCUAUAUGCCUUUAAUACAUAAGUAUGCAAGGGAAACGCUUUAGUGCUUAAGGAUGGGUCUGUAUGGUAUCAGCUUGUUGGUGAGGUAAUGGCUCACCAAGGCUAUGACGCCUAACUGGUUUGAGAGGAUGAUCAGUCGCACUGGAACUGAGACACGGUCCAGACUCCUACGGGAGGCAGCAGUGGGGAAUAUUGCACAAUGGACGAAAGUCUGAUGCAGCAACGCCGCGUGGAGGAUGACACAUUUCGGUGCGUAAACUCCUUUUAUAUAGGAAGAUAAUGACGGUACUAUAUGAAUAAGCACCGGCUAACUCCGUGCCAGCAGCCGCGGUAA